CCGGGAGGCGGAGCUGGCAGUGAGCUGAGAUCGCGCCCCUGCACUCAGGCCUGGGCAACAGAGAGAGGCUCCAUCUCAAAAAAAAAAAAAAAAAAAAGGCAAUCAGGCCACAAGGGUUUCACAAGGACAUUCCUGGUGCUGUGCUGAGCUUGAAGCCACUAGGCUUGAUUUACCUACAACCCAGUGAAACACCAGCUGUGGUGGCUAAGGGAUUGUUUGUGUCAACCUCUCCCCCAACUCCAGGCAGCGCAGCUUUCAGCUCCAGGAAAAACUUUUUCCACUUGCAGAAAGGAGAGGGAGGAAUACAGAGGACUUUGUCUUGCAACUUGGGUGCCAGCUCAGUCACAGUAAAAUAAACCACAAAGCAGAUUCUUAAAGCCUCUGAUUCUAGGGCCCGGCUCCUGGACAGCAUUUCUAAACCUGCUUGGGCCAGAAGGGAACCUGCUACUCUCAAGAUGUUACUACAAACAUUCAAACUGAUACCUACUGAGAAGCACUCUAGGCUAAGUGGUUUGGAAAUUCUGCAUCCCCCAGAAUGCUUCAAUGCUUCUGAUGAAAGCCCUGAUAUAUGGGAUUCCUGUUGUGAGAUCCUAGGUGAAUAAUCC
rnacentral:lncRNA from 10 species